ACUUUGCACUUCACAAACCAUUACUUCCAUAUUUCUCCCUUUUUUUUCUUUCUCUAGUCUCUUGUUGUAUCAGGAAAAGACGUGUGUGCGCGAGUGCUGACCCCACUUCCGUCACCCUUCUUCCACUCUUGACCCAUUUCUAUCUCUGUCACUCUCUCUACUUCCGAGUGCAUCUCGUACCUUGUUCUUCUGCCCGCUUUCAUAUUGUCCUGUUAGCAUUCCUUUUCCUUCUCUCGCCCGCUUGCGCCCCCCCCUCCCACUCAUUCUCUCUUUCCACGUGUCUCGUGCUUUGGUGUGUGUGCGCGCACUCCUUCGGUCACGCUCUUCCCUCCUCAACCCGCCACCGUCCUUCUCCCUCUGUGCUUUUUCUUGUUCGACACUUUUUUCUCUUCUUAUUCGCCCCCUCCGCGACGUUCUCUUACGCGCGUGCGUUAGCGUGUCCCUCCUUGUCGCUCUUUCUGUGCGUGUGUGUCUGUCUCUCGCUUUUUCUUUCAUUGUGGAAGUGCAUCCAGAGCUGUUUGUUCUGCUCACAUCAACGACUCUGAACGUAGAACAGAAAGGAAGCGACAUAGGUUGUUUACUCUUGUGCUUGAACCGUUGUUUUCUUUUUUUUGUGCUAAUUUGCUCUUGUUCACCCUCCCUCCUCCUCUCUCUGCGUGUGCCUGUGCGUGUGUCUUUGUACGCGUGGUUUUAUUUUUGUUGAUUUUGUUUUUUCUUGCAUUUUCACAUUUUCUUCGCUCGUUUCUUUCGUCCCCCCCCUCUCUCCGCCCCUUCUGCUCUCCUCUCCUCCCUCCCUCCUGCGUGCGUGUGUGUAUGCGUGUCGCUUCAUGUCAGAUUCGUUUGCGCUUCCUGUAAUCGCCGUAAACGUGGUUGUCUCUUUCAUUCUUUAUUCCUUACCGCGCGCGUUGUUGUUGCGCGUACGUGUCUUGGGGUGUAUGCUUGUUGUUUAGCGUCUGUACUUCUUUGUAUUGAUUUCAUUUUUCGUUCUUUUAUCUUUCAGGCUUGCCCGUUUCACAUGCUGUUCGAUUUGCGUCUCUCCUGAUUUUGUUUCUCGUCCCCUCCCUCGUUUUCUCCCCCCCUUUCUGUGUGCUCUUUCUUUUUCUAUCGUCGACUUCAUCGUGCCUUUCACCCUGUGUGAAGGCUCUCGGUCCCCCUCGACGUUUCAUAAUCACCACCACUCUUGUCCUCCUCGACUUGUGUGCCUCACGGCUGCACCCCGCCUUCUCCUUACCUCCCUCUACCAGGCGGCGCGCAUCCUUCUUGCUCCUGAUUGAGUCACCCCGCACAACUGGUGUGUGUGUGUUUUAUUUCAAAGGUGAUUCAUCACAGAGCGGGGUAAGCCCUUGCGUAGCAUCGGCAAGGUGAGAAAAAUAACGAGCCAGCCACGAGCGUGAACUUGUCGGCACAGCUCCAGCGGAAGGGGAUAACCGAAUCCUAGAAGAGCGCCGACGAACAGCUGCGCAAGCGCUUCCUGACGUGGCGGUAUCGGUGAGUCGAAGCUCUUGUUGUGAGUACAAAGGGACGACGAAAAAAAAAGAUACAAUAUUGAGAAUACAGAGACCUAUCGCGUACGCCCCCCCCCUCUCCAGUCAUUGAGGCUGUUUCAAAAGAAGGGAUACAGACAGCGGCGGGCGCUCGUGUGAUUAUCGCUGGCUUCCCUCUUUUUGUUUUUGCCUCCUACACCCCCUGUGCUCACGUUUCUGCGGGUUGUGUCUGCAUUGCUGUAUCCCUCGCUGGCACUGGUUACCUGCAACACGUGGCAUAUAUUUGUGUUCUUUGUUUUUGUGGUGCCCUGCUUCGGUGGUUCUUGCGGUCUUUCGACAAGAAAAGCAUUCGCAUUAUAUUUGCACCUGCCGUCUUUACUCUUUGUAUGCGCGUCCACGUCUCUUUCCCCCCUCCUGUCUUCCUCUGCUCUUGGUUGCUUGCUCUGGUGUCCGUUGUGUCUCUCCAUAUCUCCUACACAUCUCACGUCUUUUUUUUUUAUUCUCGGUCCCCUUUUUUGUCUGCGCUUUAUUUUUCGUGUGUGUGUGCCUGUCUGUGCGUGGGUGUGUCUCUCGUACUCGCCCUUUACACGCUCUGUGCUUUCCGGUCUUUCCGCUUUCACGGGUUUCUCCUCUCGCAUCUUUUUGGAAAGGAUAACGACAAGAGGAAACAAAACGAAAAAGGGGAGAGGGAACGAGAAAGAGAGAGCGCGCGCGAGGAUUACAUCAAGAAACGGACGAAAGACGGGACACACACACACACACACACAGGAAGUACGACUACCGAAACAACAGCAAAAAGACAAAACGUGAAGAACGAUAUAUAUAUAUAUAUUAUACAAGUCAGCGACGGACGUCGCUGUCAAUUCUGGUGAGGAAGGAGUCGCCACCCACAAAGAGGGUUCACGAGAGCUCUUCUUUUCCUAUUGAUUGAUUUCUGACGGAACAAACCACCAAACACAAAAAUAUACGCAGAGGGCUGCUGCUCAACUGGAGAGAAAAAAAAACAGAGAGGACUUGCUUUUCGUGUGUGUGUGUCUUCACUAUUGAAUUUUUUUUCCCUCGCGCGCGUGUGCGUAGGGUUUUAGAGAAAAAGAGAGAGGCGACUUUCCCGCGGCCGGCUCGAGCAGUUUCACAGACGCUUUAAAGAAAGUAUCCAACGCUUCUUGCACAUAGACACUUUUUUCUACUUCAGCCCCGCCCCUCCCUAUACCUCGCCUCUAUUUGUCCCGUUGCACGUGUUUCUCUGCCUGUCGUUCGCUAGUUGGUGUCACGUUGUAGUUUGUCUUUUGCAUUUUUUUGUGUCUCGUUCUCUUCGAUUUUUGUUUUUCGUUUGCUGCGCGCGCGCGUGGUUAGCCACUAGAAAGGAUAUCUAUAAGGCAUACGUACCCACCCACCCACCCACCUCCCACAAACACACACACAUCUAUAUAUAUAUAUACCCUCUCUCGUCCACGUUUCUGCCAGUUUGGUGCUGUUUUCUUUUUGUUUGUUUGCAAGGCUGUGCGGAUUUUUUAUCAUUCUCAUUUUUCCAAGCUCGAGUUUGUGCCUUCCUCUCCUCCGCGUGUGUCAGUGUUGUUUCUUUCUUGCCCCACCCCCUUUUUCCCUUUCCCUUUUAUGUUUGUUUGUUGCAUGUAGUCUUCGCAUUAGGCUUCGUUUGCUCUCGUGUUGACACCAUUUCUCUGUGUGUCUGCGUAUCGUCAGUGUUGUCUUUCUGUUCCUUCCUCACUGCUAAAGUUUGUCCUUGCCGUUGUUCUGCGUGCGCGUGUGUGAAUUAGUUUUGCUUGUGUACCUCCGCCUUCUCCACCUCCGUCUCUCUCGCACCCACUCCCUCAAGAAGUGUAUUUCUUCUCACCUCAAAGAUACACCCCAUUCUCUGUGUUUUUUUUUUUAUUGGGACUCUUCCUCUUGUUUUGUCGCUGUAUUGUGUCUUCUGUCUUUUCGUCGCUAUCCGCACAUCGGUGUGUUCCCGUUUUUUUUUUGUCGUUUUCACGUCUUGCGCCCUGCUACACACGCUUCUUGUCAUUCUUCCUGUUCUCGUUGCUUACAGCAAGCUCUUAGCCCUCUGACGCACAGGAACUGUCUUUGCGCUUGCGUUGAAUCGAAAUUGCUCAACCCCCUCUUUUCCUCUUCUUGGAACAAAACAGGCAAGAACAAAAAUAGCUGUGCAGUGUGAGCAGAAGCGCUGCCUUGCACAUACAAAGGUGCCGCCCUCGCGCUUAUCCAUCGCCCUCUUCCCCUUUCAACUCUAUUGACACACACACACACACACAAGCUUGAACGUGACCGAGCGUCUGAGCUUUUUCUUUCUUGUUUUCACUCUGCUUCCUGGUUUUUCUCAGAGAGAUUUACUCACAGCACUUGGGGUGGUGGUGGCUCCUCACGUAGAAACUCUGCCGCUGCGUGAAUCUUGCUUGGCGCCUUUUCUUUUUUGUGUUGUUCUGCUUCUAAAGGUCCGUGGUCGUUUACGGCUUUUGUGAGUCUCUGCGCCCUUCGUUUCAAGCGCGCCUGUUACGCACACGCUUCUCUUUCUGCCCCCCCCCUCCUUCCCUCCCUCCUCUUUCCUGUUGAGCACCGUCACCACUCAGCUCUUCGUGGCCACCAUUACACAACUCCUACGCGUCAGCACAUCUGACGUGCGUGUUAUAUCAAGAGAAAGAAGGCGCGGGAGACAGCACACACCUGAAUCCCAACGACGUAAACAACGUCCUCUCUUGAACCUGGUCUGAUUAUCCCCAUGAGUGCCAUGGACGAGCCUUCCGAUGAUGAGCUUCGCACCAAUGCGCUCAACGACCCUGGCCUCUUUUUGGACAUUGAGGACGAUGAUGAGGAUGUGGUGCUGUCGGCCGGGCUGCCGACACCCGCAGUCGUACUCCAGCGUCAGCAGCAGCAACAGCAGCAGAACGCGACGUCACCGACCGCAGGCGGGCAAGUCAACGGCGUGCCGAAGCUGGACGUCACGGCGCUAACCAGCUUCCCGGUUGACUCCAAUCAGCACCCCAUCGCAGGAUUCAUGGCACCGGCCGCGUCGAACUCGCCGAUAUCCUUCUCGCGCGAACUUGGCGUGGAUCACACCACCGGCAACGUUUACUUGAUGGGGGCAGCGCCCUCGUCGAGCCCGGCAUCGUCGCCGCAGAAUACAUCGCAGAGUUUCUCGUCCUUGAACGUGUACGCGAGCAUCGCCAAUCCGCCGCUCUGCGCGCGCUCACUGCCAUUCCGCGACUUCUUGAACAAAAAGUCGGUGCCGCCGCACAUUGAGAACGAGGAAUCCACUGGUAUCUUCGUGGGUCAGCUGCCCAGUAGCUAUGCCGAAGACGACAUAGAGGCUCUCUUGAAGGCGAUCGGACAUGAGCGGGGUAAGAUAGUACAAGUGCGCGACGUCAAGUGCCAUAACCGCGACCGCACAUGCGCGUUCAUCAUGAUCAACGCGAGCGCCCUCGCGGCGAUUUUGGAGUUCACCAAGCGCGUGUUGUGCGAUAUCAACUGCGUGUGGAUUGUCGAGCACAACCAGGCCGCCCAGCUGCCCUUGUUCAUUCAACAGAUGCCUCGCGAGCAGCUGCGUGGAGUGCCGAAGGCUGCACUGGUGCUCGAGAAACUGACUCCGCAGUCGAAGUCGCGGCACUCGAACCACAAGUCCAAUGUGGCCACGAGCCCAAACACCGGGUAUACUGCGAUUCAAACUAGGAUGCUAAGCCCGAUGCAGCACGGCGUACCCGGUGUGAGCAUGCUUUCCCACCCAGUGUUCCUCCAGCAGCAGGGGGUCAGCGCUUCUCCUACUGCCGCCGCCGGCGGCCAUCUUGAUGUGUCGGCGCUUCAGGCGACGUCUCCUUUUGGCGGCUCCAACUACCUCCAGGCGGCCAAUGUGAACGGCCUGCCGCAGCUCUUCGGCAGCAGCAGGUUUCAGCCUGGCGCGCCGAUGGGCACAUUCUUCGCGCCCGGUGGUGUCACUCCGUGUUCGAACUCCGUCUAUACGAUGCAGUUAAGCAACAGCGGGAUCGCCAACAUCGAGGUCGCGAACCAGAUGAUGCUCGCCGCCUCGCGUUCGUGCGGCGAGUUCCCAAACUAUCAGCUCAACAUGUUCCCGACGUCUCCGUCGAGCAAGGAGGCGAGCGCACCCCCUCCAAAGCCGACCACCGUGACGCUGCAGCCAGCUCUCCAGUCUGAGCACUGCAGCUGUGGGCAGAUGCUGCUGCUUUCUCAGUACCCGGAACAGGGCACGUGCGCCAAGUGCCAGUGCGUCAUCUUGCCAAACGAUGUCGCCUACUGGUGUGUGUCGGGCCACAUUGCCGUAUGCGCGAACUGCGCGAUCAAGUCCAACCGGCCUCAAUGCGGACAGGACAUGACGGGGCGGCGCAUGUCCGCGGACACAAAGUCGCAACGCACGGACGCGGGCCUUGCGAACCGCGCUAUCAAUUGAACACCUUGUCAUAACUCCUUCACAACAUGGCGCAUCUGCACUGGUAUCGAGUUCGAUGCGGCGGGCGUGUGUGUGUGUGUGUUUGUUCCGCACAUGCUUGUUUUGAGAGAGGCCUAUGCGCACAUCUGCAAACAUUCCGUUCUACAGGUGCACCUGUGUCUUCUUCUGCCCUGCCUAAUGUCCCAGCGCCACCUCCUCGCCGUCUCGUCUAACGAGUCACUCAUACAGAGAGAUUUCGUCAGGUGUCUACGUAGCCUUCGAAUGGUGCCCCGUUGAUCCCAGCUGUCCUCAUCACCCCACGUACACGGGAGCACCUCGUGCCUCUUUCUCGUCACGUAUCCAUGACCCUUGCCUCCUCGGCGUCGUGGGGGUUCACUACCGCAUAUCUGCAGCCUUUCCGUAACGGAUUCACCCACCCACCCACACACACACACGCACAAGCACAUGGAGAGACCCUUCCAUUGCUUCUUUCUGUCUUUGCCUUUCUGUCUCUUCUCCGCGCGCCGCUGCCUCGUGUAUUCCUUUCCUGCGUGCCGCUGCGAUCCCUUCUCUCCACUGCGUGUCUUCGAGACUUCUCUUUGUUUUUGGUUGUUUGCAUUUUCGCUUUCUCUUGGACUUCCUUGUUUCGCUGCUGUAGCGGUUCUUCCCGGUCGUAGCGGGCCCUUUCGAGCACGACCACUGGAGAGAUUUUUCUUCGUCGCCCUCGCUGAACAUAGACGUCAUUUCCGCUUUUUCCCCACUAACUCGUUCCAUGCAACGACAGUCCCGCUGUGCGAAGCUGCCGUGCUCCCUGUGGACAGACGGCGCACUGCAGGCGGGCGCCAAGGUUUGAGGGACCGCGAUGCUUAAUGAUCAUAAUACACUCAUCGAUACAGCGUCAAGAGGCUGCGGCCGGCUUGCUUGCAGCUAUCGCGCUGGGUGGUAAGCGGUGGAACUUGGGACUGGAUCUGCUGCGAGGAUAGCUGGAUCAGCAAAGACACAGCAAAACAAGCCCUGGGCGCUGCUGCUGCGGGGCUUGCUCUCCCUCCUCACGGCGCUGAGCACGGGCCCCAAUACUGGGGCUGCUGGCCCGCCGCGCGCGUCUCUCAUUUCAGCGCGUCAUUGGCCAUUGUGCGUGGGAAGCGAAGGGCAGAAGCCGACAAGCUUGCAAAGUGGGCCAUGCCAGAGAGGGGGCGGCGCCGACGCCAACGUACAGGGCUGCUGCGCUGACGGGGCGACGGGCGGCCGUGCUCACCCAGCUGCGCGCGGGCACGUGUCCGCACCCUGGAUUCCUGCAGCGGUGGGGGUGGCACAGCGGCCCACGCCGACGCGCAUGCGUGCGAGGGAUGCGGCGUCUCCUCCGUGUGGCCGCGUGGGCUGAUGCGGCGCAGAUGCCGGGGACAGGACGAGCGCGCCCCGAAUGGCACCACCGUGUGUGCCAGAGCCCGGUGUGGGAGGGUCUCCGCACCAUAUUGCGGAACGCCGCGGCUGGGGGGGGCGAGAGAGGGGAGAGAGGCCCGGCAUGCAGGCAGUGUGUGUGGCCGGGCCUCGGAGGGCCCUGGCCCGCGGCUUGCCCACCCCCUGCGUGGGCUCCCCCGGCACGCGGGGCUAGGCCAGCCCCUGCCACCCGCACGACGGACGCCACCGCUUUCCGCCCUCGAGCAGGACCGUGGACGUGGCCGGCGUUUGCAUCAUGGCAUGCGGUGCACCCGGGCCGGUGUGGCGCCGGUGGUGCGGCAGGUGGGCGGUGAGGGGAGAGGGAGAGGCGGGGAAGAAGGCGGAGAGCCCGCUCGACGCAUGGCCCCGCUUCGACGGCAGCGCGGUUCGUCGCGGAGGAGCAGGGUUGCGCCGUGGCGCAGCAGAGGGGUGGGUGAGCUGUGGCCGUGAUAUGGGCUUCCUUGCUGAUCUGUUGGCGGCGAUAGAAUGGGUAGAUGGGUAGGAAGAAACGAAGUUACCUGGUCCCUCAUCUCUCUUUGUCUCCCUGUUUGUUAUCGUUUUUUUUUUUCAUGUCGUGCCCUUCGUUCUUUGCAUGUUUCGGUUUUGCGGUUUUUGUCUUGUGGGUUUUUUUUUUUCAUAAGUGGUCACGUGGUUGGGUGCAUGGCUUAGUUCUCUGUGUGGAUGAGGUCUACGACGGGAGCACACUGUUUGGCUUCGCUGGCGUCUGUCUUGUGGGCUGCGUUGUCUGUUGUUGUUGUGUUUCAGGUGUGCCUUGCUGACGGGUGUAGACGAGGCGUAUUUUCGGCGGACGGCGUAUUCUUCGUUCUGGUUCUCGGAUGACUUUGUGUGUCUGAGUCUGUGGAAAAUCGUCAAACUGUUCUCUGUCAGCUUCUGUUCCCUCACCUUCGUGAGCGGCGAACACGUUUGUUUGUUUUUCACCGCCUCGUACACGUUACUGUAAAGUCUUGCGUUUCGCAGUUCCACUUCUGUUUGAGGGCCUUCGCUGGGGCGGUCGCCUGUAGUCUGCACAUGGUGUUGGUCGUCUCCUCUGCCUCUCCCGUGGUCACCGAGAUAAGGGGCACGUAGAGAGAGAUGGGAGAAUGAAAUCAGUGAGGGAUAGUGCGCAACUCGGCAAGCGAAUGUAAUGUGCGUCUGGCGUCUCGUAGCUCGGAGUGAUGCGAGGCGCGUACGCAGAUGAUAAAACAAGCGGGUAGCAAAACUGACAGAGGCGGGCUGCGAGGACGGCAGAUGUAGCGUGUGCCCGCAGCUUGAGGAGCCUCUUAGCCUUUCUAGAUGCUUCUGCUCCUGGGCCGCUCAACGUGCAUCUUAGUACCCCUUCCAUUGUCUUCUGUGAUUUCUUUUUCUUUGGUACACCCACUCACCAUCCGAGGACUCGGGGAGGGCGCCUCCGAGACUUGUUGUCUUGUUGGUUCGGAGGCUUGCUGUGUGGCUUUUCCACCUAUUGUCGUUGUUUUUCUUCUCUUUCGCCUCGACCGGAGAUGGACGAUGUUUGUUGUGAGCGAAGUUGCUUCUUCUCCUGCGCCGACCCCCCCCCUUUUCUCGCGUUAACUUCGUCCGCCAACCACAAGGGACAGUGACCGUGAAAGGAAGGCAAGGUACGCUCGGAGACCUUCCGGGUCAGGCUGCUGGAUUCUGUAAUGCUCCUCUUUACUUAUUUCCUCGCUUCCCUGCUCGCCGUUCGUCCCCCCUACCCUCCCCCUUUUGUUGUUGUUUUGGGUUGGUGCUUUCGGUAGAAGCAAUCAAACAAACGAACAAGGAAAAAAAAAACGACGAAAGUAAAUCACAAAAAAAAAGAAUCCCCACAACGCCCCAGCAUCGCACACACACACACACACACACACACACACACACACGAAAUAGAAAGCGUGGCUCGGCGAUUUGCUCCCCCCUCACUCAUCUCUCUCUUUCUCUGGUGUUUUGUUGUCUCUCUUUGCCUCUCUCGCUGCCUCUGCUUUCAUUGCUCCACCACCCUCUCCCUCCUUUGUUGUUUCAUGUUAGUCGCGUGUACUUCCGUUGCCUAUAAGGACGCCAUGCUUGCUUCUUCACCCUUUCAUCUCCCCAUCCGUGUGCUUUCCGUACUCUCGUGAUGUGCGCGACGGCUCUUUUUUAUUUGCUUCGUCGUCGACUUGUUGUUCUGUUGCGUUGUCGUUGCUUAUUUCUCGCGGAUGUCUUCUUUGCCUCGUAAUUGUGAAGCUUUCUUCUAAGAUUAGUUCUUCUCUUCCCUUUUGUUUUUCGUGCUCUCUGUUUCAUGUGCGUGUUUUGUGUGUGCCGUGUCUUGUGUGAUGACCCCUUCUCCCUCUGGUUCCUUGAACCGCCUUCUCUUCUUCCUCUCGCUGCUUUGCUGGUUUUCGGGGUGGCUUUCGGUGUCUCUGCGUGUUUUCUUCUUCCUCCCUUGCCCACCUGGACCUUGCUCACUUGUCUCUAUUGCUCUCUAAGCAUAGGCUGGCAAGCAAGCUCAUACCUGCGUGUUCAGAGCUGCCCCCCCUUCUCGCCCCCACAUACCCAGGACACGAAGGUCGAUACAAGAAGGCAGCAGAAGGGGGAGUGAAAAGAGAAGGCACUGGCUUUGCUGAACCACUGAAAUGCACGCAAGUAUACGAAUAAGCUGUUGAGCACACCUAAAACAAAACACUUGAACCCACAAAUGCCCGGCACUCAGCCGCGAACCUCACACUCAGGCGCACAAACCCUCUUUUUCUUCCUCCCUCUGUGCCGCUCUCAUUCUUUGCCUUGCACACGAUCUGAACUGCAUCUGCUGGCAUGUUUGUGUGCGUGCGUGUCUCUCAUUUUUACAGGUUACGCUGCCUCUUUCGUUGCCGUGUUGCUUUUUGCUUUCUUUCAAACUCCUUCCUUUCGUUGGAAAUCAAAAAAAAAAGGAUGUGCGCACACACAUCUCUCUCUCUCCCUCAUCAACCGCCUUUUCCGUCUUCAUCCCUGCGACUUCGUAGCUGUCCUUGUGCCUUCAAGUUGUCUUCUUCUCCCGCCUAUAUACAUCUAUAUAUACAUACAUAUACACACAUACACAUACAUCUAUACCUUUGGUGUGGUGGUGUUGGGUGUCUAUGCUUUCACGUCUCUUCAUUGUUCAUCUUGUCAUUAAUCGCGCGUAGAUGCACGCUAAAAUAAAAGAUUUGCAUGCAAAUCUGCGCAUGCGUCUUUCUCUCUUUUUUCGUUUUCCGUUUUCGUUCUCGGGUGUCUGUGAGCGCCCUUUAGCCUUCGGUGAUGUUUUGAAGGCCCGCGUGUGUGUCAAGAACGUUUACGCAGUGAUUCCUCUACUGCUGGCCGGUUCAGGCGACAAAUUUGAUUUUUGCCAUCGAUUUUUUUUUCGGUCGCGGACUCUUGGACAUCCGCACUUGAUUAACUGGUCUUGCUUUCCGUUCUGAUUUGAAAAUAUACAUAGAGCUUAUGUUUAUGUGUAUACAUGCGUGUGCCGGCGCAUGUGUGAUUCUCAGCCAUCGAUUUUCAUUAAUGAUCGUCUUUUUGUUGUUGUACUUGCUUGUCGUUUCGAAACUACAAACUGGCACACAUCAUCCCCCCCCUCUCUCUCUCCCACCUCUUCCCCCCGACUUUGCCUUUUCUGUGUGUUUUUUUUUUUUCGUUUUGUUUGAUUUCUCUCUCUUCCUCAAACGUUUUGCAGCUUCACUUCAGGCACAGUAUGGAAAUUUCUGUGUACUUAUCCGUCGCUUGUCACCUCUCUGUUUCUAUUACUCGUGUGGUUUUCUUUUUUUUUCGGCUCUCUUCCCUGUAGUCUGCGAGUAUUGUGAGUGAGCGUUCAUUUGUGUGUGCGUGCAUGUGUACUUUGGUGCUUUCUUUUUUUUUUUUCCGUCCUAUUCCGAGUCUUUUCAUUCUCCACGACUUGGUCUCUCUUUCCGAUCCUCUCUUGCUUCACUGGCUUCCUGCCUUUGCUUUUUUUUUUUCUGUGCAGCGUGUGACUGAGAUGGAAAAUGGCGUUGGGCACAGGCACCAACGCAAAACCAAAAAGGAAAAAGUCGCCUUGGCUGUUUGUUCUCUACAUUCUCUGUAUAUGCGCCGUUCAUUCGUGCUCACGAGCAUCCGAAAGUGCGCUUCUGCCACUGUAAGCAUCGAUACGUUCUCAGCGUGAGUGUGUUCUGGGAUUGAUGACAUUACUGCGCUUGUAACGCCUCGUUUCCCCGUCCUCCAAGCUCGCUCUCCAUCCGAGAAUGAGUGGCGGAUACGUGAACCAGGGUUUUCGGGUGCUUGAGUGCGAGAGAAUUGCCAGCGGCCACUUUUCAAUGUAACCCCUCACCUGUGUCCCCUUUUGUCGUUUUUUUUUCCGCUCCCUCCUCCCUCGUUUCAACUGUCUGGAGGGAGGGGCUUUCUCUUCUCUCAUCUUUCUUCCUUCGCUCCACUCUCCCCGGUAUCAACUCCGCUUCUCUGUCUGUUUGUGUGAGUGUGUGUGUGUGUCUGUGUGCGCGCUGUACGCCGUCGCGGCGACUUCCUUGUUGUUCUCUUUCUCUCUUUCGUCAACUUCGUUUACGCUGCCAUUCUCGGCUGAAGCCUCUUCUCAGUUUUCCGUUGCGCUUUUAAACAACACGGGGGAGUGUUGAGGCGUGUGUGUGUUUGAAUGGGAGGGGCAGCAUCAAUGCCCGAAAGAGGAUUCGGAGACGAUCGCGGAUGAACAGAGAGAGGUCACGCACAUAGAGACGCGCACGCACUGGAACGCAAAACCAGCAUACGCCGCAAAUACAAAAGGAAACACGACAGCAACUUUACGCAGGCAAACGCAUGCACUCGAGCACAACUACGUAUACACCCGAACGCGCCAUCUUUCCUGACGAUACCAUCACCAGCGUUGAUGAGUAGUAUGUUGUGCGUUUGCGUGUAUGUUGCCGAUCUUUUCUUUUUACCACUUUCUUCAUUGCUUUUCGGUUUUUCCUUUUGUGUGUACCUCCUUUUCCUUUCCUUCCAUCUUUCUUUCUCUUGUGUGAGUGACCGUGCGUGCGGUCUAAUGUCAUCAUUGUCAUGGUCUCUCUCGUGGCUCUCGUCAUUUUGUUUUGGUUGCUGUUUGUUUUCUUUCGCUCUUGCUUACCCGUGUAGGAGGUUCCCGUCUUGUGUGAUUUCGUUUUCCCUUGAAUGCGGCGACUGUUUUCUCAGACCUUUUGUGUGUGUGUGUUUUCCGUUCUCCAUGUGACCGCAUGCGCUACCUUUCUUUUUGCCCCUCGACGCUGUCCUUCCAUUGGCCGUCUGGAUCGAGCUUCGCACUGUGUACCAGCUAUUUUUCCGGCGGUGUCGGUGGCGCUUUCGAUGAAUUUUUCUUCCUGCAAGCACGCAUCAGUGGGCUUAUCCUAUCGCGUCGGUGCAGGCACGAGCAGCCACACAGACACACACACACGCACACGUACACAUGUGAAACUCCACCGCUCCCUUGAAUAUAAUAAUAAGCGGAGACAGAUAACACACACCUUCAUGCGUGCAUUUACGUAUGAUCCCUCUUGGGGUCUCUCGCACUUCUCCUCUGAAGCCGACGUUUUUCUUCAUCUUUUUUGUAAAGCCUGGAGCCCUUUGCCUCCUCCAAGACUGCUUCUUUUUGCAAGUACUGUUUUUGAGUUUGUGCGACGUAGGUCGACGCUGCCUUUGGUCGUCACUGCGAAGCCUCUCUCUGUGUGUCCUCGCCACCACACACACACACACACACACACGCACAUGCAUCCGUCCUUUUUUUUCGCGAUUAUUAUUUUUGUUGUUACUCCGAGUGGUGCUUUGUUUUUCGCCGUUUCCGGGGCUUAACCGCCCUUUUCGUUAUCAUCACCACAGCUUUUGUGUGUGUGUGUGUUGUUGUUUGUUGUGUGUGUAGGUGUCUGUCUAUGAGUGUCUGUGGCUCGGCCAUCUUCUCCUUGCCGCUUUUCCUCCCGUUUUGAGGUGUCUUCUCCGUUGUGGCUCAGCCAGCGUCCAAAAAGGGAGAGACAUCCAAAAAAAAAUGAACGGAAACAUUUCAGCGCACAGACAGCAGCUGUGAUCGAGCCGCGUUCCCGCUUCUUCUCGUUAUUCCGCUGGUUGGAAUGAAGAAAAAGCAAAAGAACGGUAGGCUUUUCGCCGAGAAGAUGGCGACUGACAUCGGUCUCCCGUUUUUCUUGGCACUCUCUCUUUCAGUUCCGAUGGAAAGAACAACAUGGUCGAAUGCUUUGGUAAGUACACGGACCAUCUACGUUGACCUCACUGGCCCUGAAGUUCCACUUGGGGGGCUCAGGGGAUGGUGCGAGCAGCCGAAGCCUCGUGAGCAAAGAAAAGGUAUGCGUGCACACACAGACAAAAACGAAUAGCAAGCCUGGUGCUACCUCGGUGCUGGGGCGUUUGCUCACCUCGUUUGUGAUCUGUUCAUCAUUGAUCACGUUUUUUUUUUAUUUUGCGCUUCUUCGCAGCUCUUCUGUUUCUUUCUUGCUAAGCGGGAGUGGCCUCACCCCGGGGGGACCGAUGAGGGAGUGCCCCUGGUUUUGCGUAUGCGUAGGCGUGCGUGUGUGUGCGCGUGGCCAUGCUGAAAGGGAUUAAGGGUGUGAAUGACUCAAAUGUCAGCAUUUAUUUUUUCCCUUGAGUGUUUUUGUUUCCGUAUUGUGCGUGUGUUCUGUGCAUGCACUCACAGACACACAGACAAUACAUAUGUUCCUCUUGUUGUUAGCUCUCAACUGGCGCACACGCACACACGAAACCAACGGAAGGCCCCUCGUAGCUCUCUGUGCUCGUUUCCUCACCUUCAUCGACGGUGCGAGGUCUUUCUCUUGCUAGCCCGUUGCUGCUUUAUUUUCGUUUUUUUUUUUCAACUUCUCUCUGUAAGUGCCUGCCCGCCUUGAAGGGCUGUUGGUGAACACCUCAUGUGUCGCUCUGGCCUUGUUCCUUUUUUUUUUGCCUUUUUGUCUUCAUAGCACUUGGAUUCUUUCAUUUUUUUGUUUCAUUUCUGUCUUCACUGCGGUUGCCGAUAACACUGAUUGUGUGUGUCUUCUCCUGUUUUGCAUUGCGCCGGUAGAUUCCUUUUCGUGUGUGAGUCACAAGAUGCGGAUGAGGAGGAGGGAGGAGAAAGGGAAGGUGCGGACGGGUGAUGUGCGGGGUAGGCCCCAGGCAGUGGCUGCCAAGUGCUACACAGGGCUCUGUGGACGUUGCAUGAUGUCCUCUUUUUUUUUGUUUCAGCACCUUUCUUCCGUCCCUCCAUGCGGACCGUGCGCAUCAACGAUGGCAAAUCUUUGAUAUGUGGCAUGCUCCGAGACCGUCUCUGCCUUGGCCUUCAUCUCGUCUUCCAUAUUGAACAGUAGAACACAAAUACAUACAAACGCCCCCAUCCCCCACCACCCACCCACACACACAGACACCUCCCAAAGAAAAAAAAAGCGUGCACGUUUUUUUUUUCUGUUGCCCUCUUGAGCGCCUCCACAGAGCAGACAUCCGUUUUUCACCCUCUCCCUCCCUCGUGCCACUCCUCCUCUUACGAUGCGGUCCCACCCUCCAUUUGUGUGACACUUUUUUUUUCGGCGGCGUUUGCGCUUUUACCCGCUUGCCUGUCGUUGAACGCAGAGAGGGAGACGCACGCAACGGAAAAAAAAAGAACGGCACAUGAGCACCCACACGCAAAGAUGUGCUUUAUGCGCAAUGGGAACUUGUAUGGCUGCAUAUGUGAGCGUGCUAUAAAUGGUUGCGUGCACGUUCCUGUACUACCCCCCCACUCCCCCAAUACUUCCACGGCCACCCCGUUCAUAGCGACGUUUUUUUUUUUGCUUCUCGCUUUUGAGGCCGACCAUCUCCACCGCCAAAAUACCUCUCUCUUCAUUUGUUGUGGCGGGCACGCAUACGCUCCUUUCCCGUGCCCCCGUUCUGCUUUGCUUGCUCCGAUGCGUCUCUGCCUCCUUUUUUUUUCGGGCGUGUGUGUGUGUCGCCUUUCACUCUCUUUUUUCUUCAUCUUUUUCGUUUCCCAUGGAGAGUGCCUCUGCACGUCCUUUGACUGUUCUUUUAUCUUUUCUGUCACCAAGACCUUCUUUGUUUCGCUUCUUCUGCUUGUGCGCUCCCGUGUGUGCGUGUAUGCGUGCGUUAGUUGUUCUCUCUUCCUCGUCUCUCUUUUUCUUUUCUGUGGUGUUAUUGGAGUCUUUUGUUGGGUUUCUCUUCUUUUUUUUCUGUGAGUGCGGACGUCUUCGCUUCUCCUCAUCUUGAUAUUUGUCAGUUGCUCUGUGCGUGUGUGUGUGUGUGUCUCCGUUUCUGUGGUGGCAGUGUGAAAGACAAGCGGGAGUGCCGGCGAUAGAUGGAGACGGUCGUGUCAUGGGUGCUAGCGUACGUCUAUUCCGUCGAGUUAGGCAUUUCCGUGUGAUGGCGGCUUCUCUAGGGCUCUGUUCCCUCGCUAUCGCAGUUGACGUUUGGGCAUCGGCUGCCGCCAAGCUCUCUGAUGCAGCAUGAAGGCACUCCAAGGAGUUCUCGAUCAGUAACGUGGGCAACACAUCACCAUGCGUGCGGACUCGAAAAAAUUCAGCAAUAAGUGGAAGAAUAGAUCAUCGAAAUGCGGUCGCGUGUGUAUGUGGGGGGGGGGGCAGAGCGGGGGGACGAAACGAGAGAAAGAGAGGCAGCCGUGCGAGAGAUGUGAGUGGUGCUGCGAUGCCUCUCUUCCACCCAACGCGGAGCUGCCGCGGCUUCCGGCUGCUCCUGCUCACCCGACCCUUUCUCUCUCUCAUUGCUGUGCGACUGGAUCCUGGACUGACUGGUGACGUCACUGCCGGAACACGGGCGUUGUCUGUAGCCCCUGCUGGGGUGUAGACCAGAUAAGGCCAUGGAUAGCCUUCGGAGUGGUUCAUGCGGUGAAAAACGACAAGGAAACCCGCCGCACAGACGCGCCGUGCUUCGAUUCACCGUGCUCUCUCGCCUCUUCAGUGGGACCCCAAGCCUUGGCAUGAUAAAACAAGAAGCAAUGUCCUGGAGAAACGGGCAUCAACGCUGUUCUCCCUCACAGCUCCUCCAGAGCAUGCAAACGGCGACAUUAGCAGACAGAGAGGUGAAGGCAGAGAGGAGCCAUGGGAGAGGAGAAGCGUACCCGAUGGGAAACCGAAAAACUCUUUAGAGGCCUCGGUGUCAUCUUGAUAUUCUUUCCUCUCAUUCUCUGCUUCCCCGGGCCCGCGGCUUGCCCACCCCCUGCGUGGGCUCCCCCGGCACGCGGGGCUAGGCCAGCCCCUGCCACCCGCACGACGGACGCCACCGCUUUCCGCCCUCGAGCAGGACCGUGGACGUGGCCGGCGUUUGCAUCAUGGCAUGCGGUGCACCCGGGCCGGUGUGGCGCCGGUGGUGCGGCAGAUGGGCGGUGAGGGGGAGGGAGAGGCGGGGAAGAAGGCGGAGAGCCCGCUCGACGCAUGGCCCCGCUUCGACGGCCGCGCGGUUCGUCGCGGAGGAGCAGGGUUGCGCCGUGGCGCAGCAGAGGGGUGGGUGAGCUGUGGCCGUGAUAUGGGCUUCCUUGCUGACCUGCUGGCAGCGGUAGAAUGGGCACGUUGGUGUGUGAGAGCGUCUUAUCCUGUUUUCAGGUUUGAAUGCGAAUGGCAAUAUUAGUAAAGGAAGUCCUUAAGAAUCGGCGCCUGUAAGGGAGCAAGAGGAACGCGCUUCUCUCUGCGGUCUGCGUUCAUGAGAUCACGAUGAGGAGUUGCGAGAGCGCUCCUCUGUCCUUCUUAGUGCUUAUAUAUUAUUUCUGGUUUCCUCCGAAUACUAGACUGUGUGAAGGCGAAGCACGGGGCAACGGACGUGUUGCUUCCGCGGGCAACUGGGGAGCGAGGAAUCAUCGACGUGACUCGCUUCCGCUCUCUGCGUUAGGUGCUUGUGCUGCAUGCCAUGCUGCGUACUCUUUUUUUUGGUGUUUUUUUUUCUGCUUGAUGGUACACUUGCCAUCUCAUAUGGCGUUCGCAGGUCUUGCGUGCAGAGAAAAAAAAUCUUCCACACGACUCACUCUCAUUCUCUGUCUCUCUCUCCCUCUCUCUCGGUCCCUUGACACACGCCUCUUCUUCUGCGUCUGACCCUUCUGUUCACGCAUGUCCCGCCUUUCAG
rnacentral:misc_RNA from 1 species